CUGGAGUUGGGCUGGGUGUGUUACCGGAUCCUCAUUGCAACCCUGCAGAAGUAGGCACAACUGUCUCCAUCUCCUGGGUGAGGAAAUUGGGGCUCAGGGAGGUCACAUCACUUGCCCAGGGUCAUCCAACCGCAGGUAAAUGGAUAAACCAACUGAGUAUAUCCCUCCCGAGGACUACUUACUACUCAGCAACACAAAGAGAUGAGACAGUGAUACAGGCAGCCUGGACAAGAGGCAAAUCAUCAUGAGCUUCCAGCCGACAAGUCAGACUUCCUGGCGGUGGCAGCAGCAGCCCCAGCAGGAGGGAGGAGGAGCAGAGGCCUGCAGGAGUGUGCUGAGGCAAAGGUGGCACAGGUACCACCUGUCCACUUGGCUCCUCUACCUCCCAACAGCUGAGGAACCUCAGAAGAUCCAAGCCCCUCCUCCAGGACCCCUCCUCCCCCAGGGCUGGCUCCAGCCUCUAAGUGGAGGUGGGCAAGUGAAUAGACUCCCAGGAUGCUGGGGCCAGCUUUCUGCCCAGACCAGGCUGCUGUCAUACUGCUCCCACUUCAAGCAUCAAAAACGAACAGCAGCUGCCUUCACUCCAUCCUGCUCUGGGUGUUAAGAUGGACCCUGUAUCUACCAUACCUGGCCCCGCGUUUUACAGUCGAUCUCUUCAUCUGCAUCCUGAACCUAAGAAGCAGUUAAAAUCAUGCCCACUCUACAAAUGAGGGCUCCACACUUCAGCUAGGCCAGUGGGCUUGUCUAAAUUCCCACAACUAAAAUGCUCAGAUGAGGGAGCUUCGGCUUCUAAGCCAGGCUCAAGAAGGGCCCAGAAAGCGUGAGGGCUAGACGGAUCUUCAC
rnacentral:lncRNA from 1 species